rnacentral:rRNA from 1 species
AUUGAACGCUGGCGGCAGGCCUAACACAUGCAAGUCGAACGGUAGCACAGAGAGCUUGCUCUUGGGUGACGAGUGGCGGACGGGUGAGUAAUGUCUGAGAAACUGACCGAUGGAGGGGGAGAACUACUGGAAACGGUAGCUAAUACCGCAUAACGUCUUCGGACCAAAGUGGGGGACCUUCGGGCCUCACACCAUCGGAUGUGCCCAGAUGGGAUUAGCUAGUAGGUGGGGUAACGGCCCACCUAGGCGACGAUCCCUAGCUGGGCUGAGAGGAUGACCAGCCACACUGGAACUGAGACACGGUCCAGAAUCCUACGGGAGGCAGCAGUGGGGAAUAUUGCACAAUGGGCGCAAGCCUGAUGCAGCCAUGCCGCGUGUAUGAAGAAGGCCUUCGGGUUGUAAAGUACUUUCAGUGGGGAGGAAGGCGAUGGAGUUAAUAGCUUCGUCGAUUGACGUUACCCGCAGAAGAAGCACCGGCUAACUCCGUGCCAGCCGCCGCGGUAA